CAGCUGGAAGCAGAUUCAGUCAAACAAAACGAUUUGAAUAUUAAACUUCAAGAGCUUAACAAAAAGUUACUCGAAAGCAUUGCAAAUAUGAAAGCUCAGACAAAGUGAAAUAAUAUACUUUAUUUAUAAAAAAAAUCUAAGUGCAAAGUAAAAAGAUAUUGUCAUCAGCCUUUGAUGAUUAAAAUAAAAUUAUGAAGUCAAUUGGAAGUCUUGAAGUUGGCGAAACAAAUGUUGAAAAAAUCCAUUACAUUGAUAGUUACAAGUCAAGCUAAUAAAAGUAUAAAAAUAAAAGUUAUUUGCAAAAUACAUACAAAUCAUAUUUUUGAA